rnacentral:rRNA from 1 species
GACGAACGCUGGCGGCGUGCUUAACACAUGCAAGUCGAGCGGAAAGGCCCUGCUUUUGUGGGGUGCUCGAGUGGCGAACGGGUGAGUAACACGUGAGUAACCUGCCCUUGACUUUGGGAUAACUUCAGGAAACUGGGGCUAAUACCGGAUAGGAGCUCCUGCUGCAUGGGGGGGGUUGGAAAGUUUCGGCGGUUGGGGAUGGACUCGCGGCUUAUCAGCUUGUUGGUGGGGUAGUGGCUUACCAAGGCUUUGACGGGUAGCCGGCCUGAGAGGGUGACCGGCCACAUUGGGACUGAGAUACGGCCCAGACUCCUACGGGAGGCAGCAGUGGGGAAUAUUGCACAAUGGGCGGAAGCCUGAUGCAGCAACGCCGCGUGCGGGAUGACGGCCUUCGGGUUGUAAACCGCUUUCGCCUGUGACGAAGCGUGAGUGACGGUAAUGGGUAAAGAAGCACCGGCUAACUACGUG